rnacentral:rRNA from 1 species
ACCUACCUUUUACAGGGGAAUAGCCUUUAGAAAUGAAGAUUAAUGCCCCAUAGUAUUGCGACUUGGCAUCGAGUUGUAAUUAAAGAUUUAUCGGUAAAAGAUGGCUAUGCGUCCCAUUAGUUAGUUGGUAAGGUAACGGCUUACCAAGACUUCGAUAGGUAGGGGUCCUGAGAGGGAGAUCCCCCACACUGGUACUGAGACACGGACCAGACUCCUACGGGAGGCAGCAGUGAGGAAUAUUGGGCAAUGGAGGAGACUCUGACCCAGCCAUGCCGCGUGCAGGAAGACGGCCCUAUGGGUUGUAAACUGCUUUUAUACAGGAAGAAACACUCGUACGUGUACGAGCUUGACGGUACUGUAAGAAUAAGGACCGGCUAACUCCGUGCCAGCAGCCGCGGUAAUACGGAGGGUCCGAGCGUUAUCCGGAAUCAUUGGGUUUAAAGGGUCCGCAGGCGGUCAAUUAAGUCAGAGGUGAAAUCCCAUAGCUUAACUAUGGAACUGCCUUUGAUACUGGUUGACUUGAGUCAUAUGGAAGUAGAUAGAAUGUGUAGUGUAGCGGUGAAAUGCAUAGAUAUUACACAGAAUACCGAUUGCGAAGGCAGUCUACUACGUAUGUACUGACGCUCAUGGACGAAAGCGUGGGGAGCGAACAG